rnacentral:rRNA from 1 species
AUUGAACGCUGGCGGCAUGCCUUACACAUGCAAGUCGAACGGCAGCGCGGACUUCGGUCUGGCGGCGAGUGGCGAACGGGUGAGUAAUACAUCGGAACGUACCCUGUUGUGGGGGAUAACUAGUCGAAAGAUUAGCUAAUACCGCAUACGACCUGAGGGUGAAAGUGGGGGACCGCAAGGCCUCACGCAGCAGGAGCGGCCGAUGUCUGAUUAGCUAGUUGGUGGGGUAAAGGCCCACCAAGGCGACGAUCAGUAGCUAGUCUGAGAGGACGAUCAGCCACACUGGGACUGGGACACGGCCCAGACUCCUACGGGAGGCAGCAGUGGGGAAUUUUGGACAAUGGGGGCAACCCUGAUCCAGCAAUGCCGCGUGUGUGAAGAAGGCCUUCGGGUUGUAAAGCACUUUUGUCCGGAAAGAAAUCGCGCUGGUUAAUACCUGGCGUGGAUGACGGUACCGGAAGAAUAAGCACCGGCUAACUACGUG